CCUACGGGAGGCUGCAGUGGGGAAUAUUGCGCAAUGGGCGAAAGCCUGACGCAGCGACGCCGCGUUAGGGAUGAAGUUCUUCGGCUCGUAAACCUCUGUCAGCAGGGAAGAACGGUCACUUUGCUAAUCAGCAAUGAAUUGACGGUACCUUCAAAGGAAGCACCGGCUAACUCCGUGCCAGCAGCCGCGGUAAUAAGGAGGGUGCGAGCGUUAAUCGGAAUUACUGGGCGUAACGCGCUCGUAGUCGGCAUGUCAAGUCAAGGGUGAAAUCCCCGGGCUCAACGUGGGAACUGCCUUUGAAACUGGUAAACUGGAGUGUGUGAGAGGAUAGGGGAAUUCCAGGUGUAGGAGUGAAAUCCGUAGAUAUCAGGAGGAACAUCAGUGGCGAAGGCGACUAUCUGGCACAUAACUGACGCUGAGGAGCGAAAGCGUGGGUAGCAAACAGGAUUAGAUACCCGUGUAGUC
rnacentral:rRNA from 1 species